rnacentral:rRNA from 1 species
UACGAAGGGGGCUAGCGUUGCUCGGAAUUACUGGGCGUAAAGGGCGCGUAGGCGGACAGUUUAGUCAGGGGUGAAAUCCUGGAGCUCAACUCCAGAACUGCCUUUGAUACUGGGAGUCUUGAGUUCGGGAGAGGUGAGUGGAACUGCGAGUGUAGAGGUGAAAUUCGUAGAUAUUCGCAAGAACACCAGUGGCGAAGGCGGCUCACUGGCCCGAUACUGACGCUGAGGUGCGAAAGCGUGGGGAGCAAACAGG